CCUACGGGGGGCAGCAGUGGGGAAUAUUGGACAAUGGGGGGAACCCUGAUCCAGCCAUGCCGCGUGUGUGAAGAAGGCCCUCGGGUUGUAAAGCACUUUCAGUGAGGAAGAACGCCUGGUGGUUAAUACCCAUCAGGAAAGACAUCACUCACAGAAGAAGCACCGUCUAACUCCGUGCCAGCAGCCGCGGUAAUACGGAGGGUGCGAGCGUUAAUCGGAAUUACUGGGCGUAAAGCGCGCGUAGGUGGCUUGAUAAGCCGGUUGUGAAAGCCCCGGGCUCAACCUGGUAACGGCAUCCGGAACUGUCAAGCUAGAGUGCAGGAGAGGAAGGUAGAAUUCCCGGUGUAGCGGUGAAAUGCGUAGAGAUCGGGAGGAAUACCAGUGGCGAAGGCGGCCUUCUGGACUGACACUGACACUGAGGUGCGAAAGCGUGGGUAGCAAACAGGAUUAGAUACCCGAGUAGUC
rnacentral:rRNA from 1 species